CAUUGUCGAACCUGAAAAGC
rnacentral:rRNA from 1 species